GGCGUUCCAAGAAGGGUCAAGGCGCCAAGGAGGGUCAAGGAGGCCCAUGGCUGGACCAAAACGGGUCAAGGCGGCCCAUUGGCGGCCCUAGAUAGAUUAAGGCGGCCUCUUAGCGGCCCUACGAGGGUAAAGGCGGGUCAAGACGGCCCAAAGAGAGUCAAGGAGGCCCAUGGCGGGCAAAGGCGGGUUAAGGCGACCCUUUGGUGGCCCUAGGCGGGCCUAAGAAGGACUACGAGGGUCAAGGUAGCCUUGUGCGGGUCAAGGUGGCCCCUUGGCGGCCUUAGACGGAUAAAGGCGGCCACUUGGCGGCCCUAAAUGGGUUAAGGUGGCCUCUUGGCGGCCCUAGGAGGGUCAAUGCGACCCCUUGAUGGCCCUAGGCGGGUUAAGGCAGCUCUGGGUAGGUCAAUGCGGGUUAAGGUGAGUCAAGGUGGCCCUUUAGAGGGUCUAGGAGGGUCAAGGAGGGUCAAAGCGGGUUAAGGCGGGUCGCCAAAGCGGGCCAAGGCGGCUCUUGGUGGCCCUAGAUGGGUUAAGGAGGCCUCUUGGCGCCUGUAGGAGUGUCAAGGAGGCCCAUGGCGGGCCAAGGAGGGUCAUGACAGCCAUAUGCGUGUCAAGGCGGCCCCUGAGAGGCCCUAGACGGGUCAAGGCGGCCCCUUGGUUCCCCUAGAUGUGUUUAGGAGGGUCUAGGCAACCCCUUAGUGGCCCUAGGCUGGUCAAGGCGGCUCUUGGUGGCCUUAGGUGGGCCUAAGAGGGCCUAUGAGGGUCAAGGCAGCCCUGUGCGGGUCAAGGCCACCCAAGACAGGUUAAAGUGGGUCAAGGAGGCUCUUUGGAGGCCCUAGACGGCCCAAGGAGGGUCAAGGCGGGUCAAGGAGGCACAUGGCGGGCCAAGGCGGCCCUUUGGCGGUCCUAGGAGGGUCAAGGCGGCCCAUGGCGGAUCAAAGCGGGUCAAGGCGGCCCAAAACGAGUUAAGGCGGGUUAAGGCGGCUCCUUGGAGCGUCUAGGAGGGUCAAGGUGGGUUAAGGCGGGUAAAGGCGGCCCAAAACUGGUAAAGGCGGCUCAAGGCGGGUAAAACCGGGUCAAGGCGACUCCUAGGAGGGUCUAGGAGGGUCAUGGUGGGUUAAGGCGGGUCAAGGCGGUCCAAGUAAGCUCAAGGCAGAUCAAGGCGGCCCAAGAAAGGUCAAGGCGGGUUAAGGAGGCCCAUGGCUGGCCAAGGCGGGUUAAGGCGGCCCUAGAUGGGUUAAGGCGGGUUAAAGCGGUCUAAGGCGGCUCAAAGUGGGUCAAGGCAGCCCAAGGAGGGUCAUGGAGGCCCAUGGCGGGCCAAAGCGGGUUAAGGUAGCCCAUUGGCGGCCCUAGAUAGAUUAAGGCGGCCUUUUAGCGGCCCUACGAGGGUCAAGGCGAGUCAAGACUGCCCAAGGAGGAUCAAGGAGGCCCAUGGCGGGCAAAGUCAGGCCAAUGCGGCCCCUUGGUGGCCCUAGGCGGGCCUAAGAGGGACUACGAGGGUCAAAGCAGCCCUGUGCGGGUCAAGGUGGCCCUUUGACGGCCCUAGACGGGUAAAGGCGGCAUAAGGUGGGUCAAGGUGGGCCAAGGCGGCCACUUGGAGGCCCUAAAUGGGUUAAGGUGGCCUCUUUGUGGCCCUAGGCGGGUCAAGGCAGCCCUAGGCAGGUCAAGGCAUGUUAAGGUAAGUCAAGGUGGUCCCUUAGAGGGUCUAGGAGGGUUAAGGAGGGUCAAAGCGGGUUAAGGCGGGUCGCCAAAGCGGGCCAAGACGGCCCUAAAUGGGUUAAGGAGGCCUCUUGGCGCCCGUAAGAGUGUCAAGGCGGCCAAGACGGGUCAAGGAGGCCCAUGACGGGUCAAGGCGGCCCCUUGGAGGCCCUAGACGGGUCAAGGCGUCCCCUUGGUGCCCCUAGAUGGGUCUACGAGGGUAUAUGAGGGUCUAGGCAACCCCUUAGCGGCCCUGGGUAGGUCAAGGCGGCUCCUUGACGGGUUAAGGCGGCCCCUUGGUGGCCCUAAGCGGGCCUAAGAGCGUCAAGACAACCCAAGGCGAGUCAAGGAGGCCCAAGGCGGGCCAACACGGGUCAAGGCGGCCCCUUGGCGGCCCUAGAUGGGUUAAGGCCACCUCUUAGCGGCCUUAGGAGGAUCAAGGCAGGUCAAGGUGGCCCAUGGUGAGCCAAAGCUGGUAAAGGCGGCCUUAGAUGGGUAAAGGCGGCCUAAGGCGGGUAAAGGCGGUUAAAUGCGAGUUAAGGCGGCUCCUUAGAGGGUCUAGGAGGGUAAAGGAUGGUCAAGGCGGGUCAAGACGGCCCAAGGCGGGUCAANNNNNNNNNNNNNNNNNNNNGUGGGUCAAGGCGACCCCUUGGCUGCCCAAGAUGGGUUAAGGCGACCUCUUGGCGCCCAUAGGAGGGUCAAGGCGGCAAAAGGCGAGUCAAGGCGGCCCAUGGCAGGCCAAGGCAGCCCUAAAUGGGUUAAGGUGGCCUCUUGGCGGCCUUAGGAGGGUCAAGACGGCCCCUUGGUGGCCCUAAGCGGGUCAAAGCGGCUAAGGCGGGUCAAGGUGGGUCAACGCGGCCUAAGGCAGAUUAAGGCGGCCCAAGGAGGGUAAAGACGACCCCUUAGCGGCCCUAGACGAGUAAAGGCGGAUAAAGGAGGCCCAAUGCGGGUUAAGGCGGGUGAAGGUGGCUUGUUGGAGGGUCUAGGAGGGUAAAAGAUAGUCAAGGCGUUCCAAGGUGGCCCAUGGCGGGUCAAGGCGGCCCAAAGAGGGUUAAGGAGGUCCAUGACGGGCCAAGGUGGGUCAAGGCGACCCCUUGGCGGCCCAAGAUGGGUUAAGGCGACCUCUUGGCCCCCAUAGGAGGGUCAAGGCGGCAAAAGGCGAGUCAAGGCGGCCCAUGGCGGGCCAAGGCAGCCCUAAAUGGGUUAAGGUGGCCUCUUGGCGGCCCUGUGAGGGUCAAGGCGGCCCCUUGGUGGCCUUUUGCGAGCCUAGGAGUGUCAAGGCAGCCCUGGGCGGGUCAAGGCGGGUCAAAGCGGCCCCUUUGAGGGUCUAGGAGGGUCAAGGAUGGUUAAGGCGGGUUAAGGCAGGUCAAGGCGGCCAUUGACGGGUCAAGGAGGCCUAUGGUGGGCCAAGGCGAGUCAAGGCGGCCCUUUGGCGGCCCUAGAUGGGUUAAGGCGGCCUCUUGACGGCCCUUAAAGAGUCAUGACGGGUCAAGGCAGCCCAUUGGCAGCCCAUUGGCAGCCCUAAAUGGGUUAAGGUAGCCUCUUGGCGGCCCAAGGAGAGUCAAGGUGGCCCUAAGCAGGCCUAGGAGGGUCAAGGAGGGUUAAGGCGGUCCAAGGCAGCCCAAAACGGGUCAAGACGGCCCAAGGAGGGUCAAUGCGGCCCAAGGCGUGUCAAGGAGGCCCAUGGCGGGCCAAGGAGGCCUCUUGGCGGCCCUAAGAGGGUCAAGGCGUGUUAAGGCGGCCAAGGCGUGUUAAGGCAGCCUAAAGCGGGUGAAAGCGGGUCAAAGCGGCUCCUUGGAACGUCUAGGAGGGUCAAGGAGGGUUAAGGCGGGUUAAGACGGGUUAAGGCGGCCCCUUGGCGGCCCUAGACAGGUAAAGGCGGCCCAAGGCGGGUUAAGCCGAGUCAAGGCGGCUCCUCGGAGGGUCUAGGAGAGUCAAGGCGGUCCAAGGUGGCCCAAGGCAAAUCAAGGCGGCCCUAGAUGGGUCAAGGCGGCCAAAGAGUGUUAAGGCGGGUCAAGGCGGCCCCUUAGAGGGUCUAGGAGGGUCUAGGAGGGCCAAGGAGGGUCAAAGCGGGUCAAGGCGGCCCAUUGGUGGUCAAGGCAGGUCAAGGAGGCCCAUAGCAGGCAAAGACGGGUCAAAGCGGCCCGUUGACGGCCCCAGGUGAGUCAAGGCGGCCCCUUAGUGGCCCUAGGCGAGCCUAAGAGGGCCUAUGAGGGUCAAGGCAGCCCUGUGCGGGUCAAGGCGGCCCCUUGGCGGCCCUAAGAGGGUCAAGGCGGCCCCUUAGUGGCCCCAGGAGCGCCUAAGAGGGUCAUGGCAGCCCUGGGUGGGUCACGAAGGCCCCUUGGAGGCCCUAGAUGAGUCAAGGCGGCCCCUAGGUGCCCCUAGAUGGGUCUAGGAGGGUCAAGGCAACCCCUUAGCGGCCCUACACGGAUCAAGGCUGCCCCUUGGAGGGUUAAGGCAUCCCUGUGCAGGUUAAGGCGGCCCUUUCGCGAUAGUAGACGGGUAAAGGCGGCCCAAGACGGGUCAAGACGGCUCCUUGGAGGGUCUAGGAGGGUCAAGGUGGCCUAAGGCGGGUCACUGCAGCCUAGGCAGGUCAAGGCGGCCCCUUGGAGGCCCUAGACAUGUCAAGGCGUCCCCUUGGUGCCCCUAGAUGGGUCUACGAGGGUCUAGGCAACCCCUUAGCGGCCUUAGGUGGGUCAAGGUGGCCCCUUGACGGGUUAAGGCGGCCCCUUAUUGGCCCUAGGCAGGCCUAGAAGUGUCAAGGCGACCCAAGGGGAGUCAAGGAGGCCCAUGGCGGGCCAACGCAGGUCAAGGCGGCCCUAGAUAGGUUAAGGCGGCCUCUUGGCGGCUCUAGGAAGGUAAAAGCAGCUAAGGCGGGUCAAGGCAGAUUAAGACGCGGCUCAAGGCGGGUUAAGGCGGCCCAAGGAGGGUCAAGACGGGUCAAGGCGGUUCAAGGCGGGUCAAAGCGGACAAGGCGGCUAAGGCGGGUCAACGUGGCCCAAGGCAGGUCAAGGUGUCCCAUGGCAGGCCAAGGCGGGUCAAGGCAGAUUAAGGCGGCCCUAGAUGAGUAAAGGCGGCCCAAGGCAGAUAAAGGCGGCCCAAUGUGGGUUAAGGCGGGUCAAGGCGGCUCCUUGGAGGGUCUAGGAGGGUAAAGGAUGGUCAAGGCGUUCCAAGGCGGCCCAUGAUGGGUCAAGGCGGCCCAAGGAGGGUUAAGGAGGUCCAUGGCGGGCCAAGGCGGGUUAAGGCGACCCCUUGGCGGCCCAAGAUGGGUUAAGGUGACCUCUCGGCGCCCAAGGCGGGUCAAAGCGGGUCAAGGCAGCCCUAAAUGGGUUAAGAUGGCCUCCUGGCGGCCUUAAGAGGGUCAAGGCGGCCCCUUGGUGGCCCUAGGCGGGCCUAGGAGGGUUAAGGCGCGUUAAGUCGGGUUAAGGNNNNNNNNNNNNNNNNNNNNGGCGGGUCAAAGCGGGUCAAGGCAGCCCUAAAUGGGUUAAGAUGGCCUCCUGGCGGCCUUAAGAGGGUCAAGGCGGCCCCUUGGUGGCCCUAGGCGGGCCUAGGAGGGUUAAGGCGCGUUAAGUCGGGUUAAGGCGGCCAAAUGGGACAAAGUGGCCAACAAGGGUCAGGGCGGCCCAAGGCGAGUCAAAGACGCCCAUGGUGGGCCAAAGCGGGUCAAGGCGGCCCCUUGGCGGUCUUAGAUGGGUUAAGGCGGCCUCUUGGCGGCCCUAGGAGGAUAAAGGUGGCUCAAGACAGGUCAAGGUGGCCCUGGAUGGGUUAAGGCGGCCUCUUGGCGCCCGUAGGAGGGUCAAGACGGCCCAUGGCGGGUCAAGGCAGCCCAUGGCGGGCCGUGGUGGCCCCUUGGCGGCCCUAAAUGGGUUAAGGUGGCCUCUUGGUGACCCUAGAAGGGUCAAGGCGGCCCAUUGGUGACCUUAGGCGGGCCUAGGAGGGUCAAGACCCCUUGGACGAUCUAGGAAGGUCAAGGCGGGUUAAGGCGGGUCAAGGCGGUCCAAGGCGGGUCAAGGCGGCCCCUUGGCGGCCCUAUAUGGUUUGAGGCGACCUUUAGGCAUCCCUAGGAAGGUCAAGGCGGGUCAAGGCGGCUCUUUGGAGGGUCUAGGAGCGUCAAGGAGCGUCAAGGCGGCCCAAGGCUGGUUAAAGCAGGUAAAGACGGUCCAAGGUGGCCCAAGACAAGUCAAGGCGGGUCAAAGCGGCCCAAGGUUAGUUCAGCCAGGUCAAGCCAGCCCAAGGCGAGUCAAGGCAGGUCCAAGGCAGCACAAGGCGGGUCAAGGUGGCCGCUUGGCGGGUCAAGGCGGCAGCUUGGCGGCUCUAGGUAGGUUAAGGCGGCCCCUUGGCUACCUUAGGAGAGUAUAGGAAUGCCUAGGAGAGUCAACGUAGUCCCUUGGCACCCUUAGACGGGUGAAUGCGGUCCCUUGGCGGUCCUAGCGAGGUCAAGGCGCCCAUUUGGUAGCCCUAGACGGGUCAAGGCCACCCAAGGCGGGUCAAGGCAGACCAAAGCGGCUCUAGGCGGGUCAAAACUGGCCAAGGCGGCCGCUUGGUGGCCCUAGGAGGGCAUGGUGGCCCCUUGGCUGCCCUAGGCGGGCCUAUGUGGGCCUAGGAGGGUCCAGGAAGCUCUAGCAGGGUCAAGGCAGCCCCUUAGAGGCCUUAGACGGGUGAAUGAUAGGAGCACAAAGUGUGACGUUCUUAAUAUGUUUAUACCCUUUAUUUACCCUUUGUUAACUCCUAUUUAGUUGUUUUAGCUUUAUAUUUGUGUUUAGUGUAGAAUAAUUGCUUAAUGUAGAAAUAUGUAGGUUUUAGUGUUAGAAUACAUAGUAUUUUCGGAUUUGAAUAAUUUGGUGUUGAAAUUGUGCUAAGUGUUGGAAAUCCUUGUUUACUCAGGAUUCCUGUCUUGAUCAAGAUUCCAUCUUUCCUCUUUCCUAGUUUCUAAUUUUCUUAUUUCUAUUUCAGGAAAGUCUAAACCCGUGUUGACCAGGAAAUGUUUUCCUGACUCAUGAGAGAAAGGUGGCCGGCAGCUAGGAGUUCCUGCUUGAGCUAGGNNNNNNNNNNNNNNNNNNNNAAUCAUGAACCAUAGCAUGCAUAUUAUUUCAAAUAAAAGUCCACUCACGAAUUAGGCCUAAGCCUGAUGUCAAUCUGGGGUCUCGUCUGCUCGAGCCUCUUCACGUCCUGUUCCAAAUAUAAUAUUAAUUUCCCAACCAAUAUCCAAUAUUUAAUCAAAAUAGGCAAAAUUACCCGAGAGCCAUAAUUACGCUCAUCAUUGCCUAACUUCGAUAUUCUUACAUCGGAACAAUCCGAACUUAAAUAUCAUACUCAACAGUCGUAAAUACAACCUCUCCAAAAUACGACUUAAAUCCUACGGCCGGAUUCUACAUUAAUUAACCGCCAAAAAUACCAAACUUCUGAAAUUCACAAACCUAUCCAAAUCUCAUCCAAAAAUUCCAUAAUUCACUUCAAUAAUAUCCCCUUAAUAUUCUACAUUAAAAACCAUAAAAAUCUCCUAACCGGCGGCGGCUCCGCCGGCAGCGGCGGCCGGCAGCCGUUUUCCGGCGACCUGCAAAUGCUACCAAAUUUUAACAGAAUCUUCCUCUCAAUCUCCUCUACAACUUUCAUGACCAACACAUCACCCAAUUCCAAGCCUAACUAGGCUAAUCGAACGAAAAUAACUUAAAAGCCUAGAAAUUUCAACUCCACAUUUCUCCUUACCUAGCUCAAGAGGGAGGGAGCUACUUGGAGGGGUUGUUGCACGGGAGGAGGGCUACAAAACCGUACCAAGCUUGCCCGGAUUGGUGGCCGGAGGAGGAAGUUCCGGCGAAGGGAAGCUCGGGGCAGUCGGUUCUUUCGGGCGGCACCGCUCACUCACGGCAGCGCUAGGGCUCCUCUCACCGGUCCAGGGAGGCUGCUGGGUUGGAGGUCGAUCGAUUGGAACCGGUGCGGCGGUCUGGGGCGGCCGGACGGCGGCGGACGGCGGUGGUGAAGUUUCCCGGGUGGAGGGAGAAGAAACACGGGUGGGAAGAGAGAAAACGGGAGGGAGAGAGAGAGAAAGGAAGAAGAAAAUGGGUUGGGCUCGGCCCAGCCGACCCAACAUUCCUUUUAACCCAAAUUUCCAAAAUUCAACACCCCGAAAAAUAAUACCCGAAUAAAAAUUACCUUUUACUAGCUUAAAUUUACUAUUUUUACCGUCGUCGUAUUUUCCCCAUACGAAUUAUCCUCCACACAUAAUCGUCCCCGAAACCCCUCUAGGGACCAAUUAAACUAUUUACUCAAUGAUCGAGACGGUAAAAUUCUUAUUAUAAUCACGUUAGUAAAUAAGGUAAAAAUAUAAGGGUCGGGAUGUGACACAAGGUGAGUCAAGGCAGGUCCAAGGCAGCACAAGGCGGGUCAAGGCGGCCCUUUGGCUACCCUAGGCAGUGUAGGAAUGCCUAUGAGAGUCAAGGCGGCUCAAGGCAGGUCAAGGUGGCCCUAGACAUGCCUAGGAGGGUCAUGGCGACCCCUUAGCGAGUCAUGGCGGUGCCUUGGUGGCUCUAGGCGGGUCAAGGCAGGGAAGGCCUAGGAGGGUCAAGGUAGUCCCUUGGCAACCUUAAACGGGUGAAUGCGGUCCUUUGGCGGUCCUAGCGAGGUCAAGGCGGGUCAAGGCGGCUCUAGGUAGAUCAAAGCAGGCCAAGGCGGCCGCUUAGCGGCCCUAGGAAGGCAUGGCAGCCCCUUAACUACCCUAGGCGGGCCUAUGUGGGCCUAGGAGGGUCCAGGCAACUCUAGCAGGGUCAAGGCUGCCCCUUGGUGGCCUUAGACGGGUGAACGCGACCCCUUGGUGGCCGAAGGCGGGUUAAGGCAAGUCAAGCCGGCCCAUUAGCGGCCCAAGGCGGGUCAAGGCGGCGUCUCUAGCGGCCCUAGGCGGGUCAAGGCUACCCCUUGCCUUCCCCAAGCGAGCCCAGUAGGGUUAAGGCGGCCCCUUAGUGGCCCUAGAUGGGUCAAGGCGCCCUAAGGCGGGUUAAAGCGGUCUAAGGCGGUCCAAGGCGGCUGAAGGUAGGUCAAGACGGCAUAAGGUGGGUCAAGGCGGCCCUACACGAGUCAAGGCGGCUCUAGGCGGGUCAAAGCAUGUAAAGACAUCCCCUUAGCGGCCCUAUGCGGGCCUAUGAGGGCCUAGGAGGGUCCAGGAAGCCCAAGGCGUGUCAAGGCUGCCUCUUGGUGGCCUUAAACGGGUGAACGCGGCCCCGUGGCGACCCUAGCAGGCUCAAGGCGGGGUCAAGGCGGCCACUUGGCGGCCCAAGGCAAAUCAAGGCAGCCCCUUGUCUGCCCUAGGCUAGCCUAGGAAGGUUAAGGCGGGUCAAGGCGGCCCUACACGGGUCAAAGCGGCCCUACACGGGCCUACCAGGGUCAUGGAGACCCCUUGGCGAGUCAUGGCGGCCCCAUGGUGUCCCUAGGUGACCUAAGAGGGUCAAGGUAGCCCCUUGGCGGGUCUAGGAGGGUCAAGGCAACCCCUUGGCGGGUCAAGGCGGCUCCUUGGCGGCAUUUGACGGGUGAACGCGGCCCCUUGGCGGCCCUAGCGGGGUCAAGGCGGCCCCUUGUUGGCCCAAGACAAGUCAAGGCGGCCUUUUAGCGGCCCUAGGAAGGUCAAAGCGGCCCAAGGGCGGGUCAAGACGGGCCAAGGCAAGUCAGGGUGGGUAAUACGUAACAGUUUUGAAAAUUUAGGAUCCCGAGGUCAUUAAGAGAAUAAACUAAGACAAAACAAACUUGGAACCUCACUCAAUACCUUUGAAAACAACACUUUCAGCAAAUUUACAAAACACGGCACGCGUGAGUUAUUUAAGCUCGAUCGCAGGUAAAAUAAUAAAAGCAACGGAUUUUUGAUGCUAGAAUUGUUCACAAUAUGUUAGGAGGCGUCUAGAAACAUAGAUGAAUUCAAAAAACCACCUGUCAAAAAAAGUGAAAUUUUUCAAAAACCUGUGUGCUAUAGUAAAGGUUUUCGGCCCAAAUCGGGCGAACUUGAAAGAAUGGGUAAUACGUAACCGUUUUCGAAAAUAUAGGUUCCCAAGGUCAUUAAGAGAAUAAACUAAGAAAAAACAAGCUUGGAAGCUCACUCAAUACCUCUGAAAACCACACUUUCAGCAGCUUUACAAACCAAGGCACGCGCUAGUUAUUUAAGCUCGAUCGCGGGUAAAAUAAUAAAAGCAACGGAUUUUUGAUGCUAAAUGACGUGUCGCGUAACCGGGGUCAAACAACUUCAAUUUAAUUACCCUGCAAUCGUAGUAAUAUGGACAAGUAGGGAUCGUUCUAGCCGGGGAAACCAAAGGGCGAUCGAAAGAAGAGAAAUCAAACAACUUAUAAACAAGUAUUCACAUAUAUACAUCGAAAUAUUGGGGGGUUUGAGAUUGAUUAAUUCUAACAAAUAAUCUACUGAAAAUUAAACCUAAGAUUAUUAUAUACAAGUGAUCAACAUACUCAUGCAACACAUAACACGAAAAACCAUCAAGAACACAUAACAACUUCAUGCAAGGCUGGGCAGCAACGUUCAAAUUAUCUUAGACUCUAACCAAUUCCGAUUCUAAUUAGAGCCGUUGCGGUUAUCUAAUUGUUAAGACUCCUCAAGUAUUUAGAACCAUCUUNNNN
rnacentral:lncRNA from 1 species